GAUGAACGCUGGCGGCGUGCCUAAUACAUGCGAGUCGAGCGAACGGACGAGAAGCUUGCUUCUCUGAUGUUAGCGGCGGACGGGUGAGUAACACGUGGAUAACCUACCUAUAAGACUGGGAUAACUUCGGGAAACCGUAGCUAAUACCGGAUAAUAUUUUGAACCGCAUGGUUCAAAAGCGAAAGACGGUCUUGCUGUCACUUAUAGAUGGAUCCGCGCUGCAUUAGCUAGUUGGUAAGGUAACGGCUUACCAAGGCAACGAUGCAUAGCCGACCUGAGAGGGUGAUCGGCCACACUGGAACUGAGACACGGUCCAGACUCCUACGGGAGGCAGCAGUAGGGAAUCUUCCGCAAUGGGCGAAAGCCUGACGGAGCAACGCCGCGUGAGUGAUGAAGGUCUUCGGAUCGUAAAACUCUGUUAUUAGGGAAGAACAUAUGUGUAAGUAACUGUGCACAUCUUGACGGUACCUAAUCAGAAAGCCACGGCUAACUACGUG
rnacentral:rRNA from 1 species